UACGUAGGGUGCAAGCGUUAAUCGGAAUUACUGGGCGUAAAGCGUGCGCAGGCGGUAAUGUAAGACAGAUGUGAAAGCCCCGGGCUCAACCUGGGAAUUGCAUUCGAGACUGAAUAGCUAGGGUACGGUAGAGGGAAGCGGAAUUUCCGGUGUAGCGGUGAAAUGCGUAGAUAUCGGAAGGAACAUCAGUGGCGAAAGCGGCUUCCUGGACCAGUACCGACGUUCAGGCACGAAAGCGUGGGGAGCAAACAGG
rnacentral:rRNA from 1 species